GUUGAAACACCAGUUCCCACACAAUCACUGAAGUUAAGCAAUGUAGAGUAUGGUUAGUACCUAGAUGGGUAACUGCUUGGGAAUACCAAGUGCUGUAAG